AGCAGUGAUGUAGAAAGUUAAAUUUUGGAGUUCCCAUCAUGGUCAGUGGAAACAAAUCUGACUAGUAUCCAUGAGGACACAGGUUCGAUCCCUGGCCUCACUCAGUGGGUUAAGGAUCCAGCGUUGCCAUGAGCUGUGGUGUAGGUUGGAGACUUGGAUCUGGCCUUGCUGUGGCUGUGCUGCAGGCUGGCAGCUACAGCUCUGAUAUGGCCCCUAGCCUGAGAGCCUCCAUAUGCCGCAAGUGCGGCCCUUAAAAAAAAAAAAAGUUAAAAACCUUUAGCUGUUCAUUUCUAGGGAGACCAGUACAUUAAACAGGAAGAAGCUAACUCAGCAGUGAUCAUCAGAACAAAUAAAAUCCUAAGAGAACCACCAACUGAUGACUUAACCAAAAAUCCUGCUGUCACUGCUGGAAGGAUGGUGAAACCAAAAGUGGAGCUAUAAAGUGACGCACAUACAAGUGCCACUUCCCGUCAUAGAAGGCCUUUUCCUGUCUGUGAGAUUCCUCGGAAAGAGUACGGGCGAGGAGAGCCCGUGUCUGAGGGAAGAAGAGACUGGGACGGCACCUCUCAGAUGUUCUCAAGUGGGGCAUGUGGAAGUUCCCUGGUCUGGGAUUGAACCCACCUCUGCAGUGAUAACACCCAGUCCUUACCCCACUGCACCACGGGGGGAAUCCCGAGAGGUGGCGAUUUGAAGUGAGUACGGAUGACUGUUGAGAAAGGCGGAUGGUCGCAAGGGAGGAGAGGAGGCAGAGCCGGGGGAGAUGGGGUCACAGAGCGUGUUGACGGACAGAGGGCCUCUUUUUAAGAGGAAAACACACAUUUCUUUUUAAGUGAAAGGAACUAGCUUGUGGAGUGAGGGGGAGAGAAGGGGUGAGGG
rnacentral:lncRNA from 1 species